rnacentral:rRNA from 1 species
UACGUAGGGUGCAAGCGUUAUCCGGAAUUAUUGGGCGUAAAGAGCUCGUAGGCGGUUUGUCGCGUCUGCUGUGAAAACCCGAGGCUCAACCUCGGGCCUGCAGUGGGUACGGGCAGACUAGAGUGCGGUAGGGGAGAUUGGAAUUCCUGGUGUAGCGGUGAAAUGCGCAGAUAUCAGGAAGAACACCCGUGGCUAAGGCGGCUCUCUAGUACGGUACUGACGCUGAGACGCGAAAGCGUGGGGAGCGAACAGG